rnacentral:rRNA from 1 species
AUGAUGGACGGGGCUGGAGCGCUACUCCGGAGUCAUCAGAUGGAGCCGCCGCCGCCGUUCUUAGCAAUUUCGGUCACCGUGGCGACCUUGGCUGCUGGCGUAUUCGCCAUAUAUUUCUACGCACCUUCAUGGCGCGUACGUAGGGUCCCCGGUCCGAUGGCUAACCCGCUGAUCGGCCACCUGCCGUUGCUCGCCAAGCACGGCCCGGCGGUGUUCACGGUCCUCAGAGAGAGAUUCGGGCCCAUCUACAGGUGA